rnacentral:rRNA from 1 species
GAUGAACGCUGGCGGCGUGCUUAACACAUGCAAGUCGAACGAAGCACCUUGAUUCGAUUCUUCGGUUGAAGAUCUUGGUGACUGAGUGGCGGACGGGUGAGUAACGCGUGGGUAACCUGCCUCAUACAGGGGGAUAACAGUUAGAAAUGACUGCUAAUACCGCAUAAGACCACAGCACCGCAUGGUGCAGGGGUAAAAACUCCGGUGGUAUGAGAUGGACCCGCGUCUGAUUAGGUAGUUGGUGGGGUAACGGCCUACCAAGCCGACGAUCAGUAGCCGACCUGAGAGGGUGACCGGCCACAUUGGGACUGAGACACGGCCCAAACUCCUACGGGAGGCAGCAGUGGGGAAUAUUGCACAAUGGGGGAAACCCUGAUGCAGCGACGCCGCGUGAGCGAUGAAGUAUUUCGGUAUGUAAAGCUCUAUCAGCAGGGAAGAAAAUGACGGUACCUGACUAAGAAGCACCGGCUAAAUACGUG